rnacentral:rRNA from 1 species
GAUGAACGCUGGCGGCGUGCCUAACACAUGCAAGUCGAGCGAACAGACGAUAGUGGGUGCACUCGCUUGGGUUAGCGGCGGAUGAGAGGGGAACAAGCUGGUAACCUACCUAUAAGACUGGGAGAACAUUGGGAAACCGGAUCGAAUUCCGGACAAGAUGUAGCGUGGCAUGUAGCAAUAUCGAAAGACGGUUCUGCUGUUACUUACAGAUGGACCCGUUGUGUAUUAGCUAGUUGGUGAGGUAACGGCUCACCAAGGCAACGAUACAUAGCCGACGUGAGAGCGUGAUCGGCCACACUGAGACUGAGACACGGCACAGACUCCUACGGGAGGCAGAGGUAGGGAAUCUUCCGCAAUGGGCGAAAGACUGACGGAGCAAUGCCGCGUGAGUGCAGAAGGUCUUCGGAUGGUAAAACUCUGUUGUGGGGGAAGAACACUUACGUUAGUAACUAAACUUAUCUUGACGGUACCUUAAGAGAAAGCAACGGCUAACUACGUG